rnacentral:rRNA from 1 species
GCAGCAGUGGGGAAUUUUGGACAAUGGGCGCAAGCCUGAUCCAGCCAUGCCGCGUGAGUGAAGAAGGCCUUCGGGUUGUAAAGCUCUUUCAGCUGGAAAGAAAUCGUACUUAUUAAUACUAGGUGCGGAUGACGGUACCAGCAGAAGAAGCACCGGCUAACUACGUGCCAGCAGCCGCGGUAAUACGUAGGGUGCGAGCGUUAAUCGGAAUUACUGGGCGUAAAGCGUGCGCAGGCGGCUUUUUAAGCCAGAUGUGAAAUCCCCGGGCUUAACCUGGGAACUGCAUUUGGAACUGGAAGGCUAGAGUGUAGCAGAGGGGGGUAGAAUUCCACGUGUAGCAGUGAAAUGCGUAGAGAUGUGGAGGAAUACCAAUGGCGAAGGCAGCCCCCUGGGUUAACACUGACGCUCAUGCACGAAAGCGUGGGGAGCAAACAGGAUUAGAUACCCUGGUAGUCCACGCCCUAAACGAUGUCAACUAGGUGUUGGGGAAGAGAUUCUUUAGUACCGCAGCUAACGCGUGAAGUUGACCGCCUGGGGAGUACGGUCGCAAGAUUAAAACUC